rnacentral:lncRNA from 1 species
GCAGUAUGCAGACAGGGAGUUCUAGAUAACUGCAGACUGAUUCCUCAGGGCCAAGGCCAGGCCAGACCAGUGGUGGCAUCGCUGGGUGGACCCUGGCGGUCACUCCUCUUAAGCCCUCUGAGGCUCUCCAUCUGACUGAUCUGGGGCUUUACUAGUUUUCUCAGCAGCCCAGUGAGCCCCUCAGCUUCCAGAGGCUCAAGGCACCAGCCCACCAGCCCACGUGAGGGUCGCUGGUCCCCUUUCUCCAGUUGGAAGCUCAAAAGUCAGGAAGGAUCUGGCUUCCCCACUGGUCCCCUGGACAUUGGAGAAGGUCUGCCUCACCUGUCUACCUUCCCAGCCUUGGACCCUUUAGACAUAAGCCCAGCAGAGAGGGCAUGAGGCCAUGUUCAUCCGCAGACCUCGCUCCCCUGGGGUAUCCAGAUCUCUCCCCUUAAGCCUGAGGCCUGGAGGCCAGCCUGGCUCUGCUAAUGCUUGCCGCAUGAUCUUCAACAGAUCCAGUAGCUCACAGAGGAGCAGCAUGGUAGAGAAAAUCAGAUGAUGACAUCAAGAAACCAGGGAUGUUUUGGAGGCCCACUGAGAGAACUGAUGUAAAAUGCUCUAAAGAUGAAGAGAAUUACAACAAAUCACUCAUGGAUGGAGGCAGAACAAGUUCAGCUCAGCUUCAUGGGACUGGCCAGUUCUUACUGUGGUCCUAGGAGGUAUUGGGGACCCUUUUUGGCAUGAGAGUUGCAGUGGCACUGAGAUGACAGGAAUAAGUGAGCAAAGCCUGUUUGAGGUCUAGGAAGAAGAGGUGUGGUAACGGUACCUUAAGAACUGGAGAAACUUCUGGACCUUCACUGCCAAUGCACAACCAUCACCGCCACCAAGCUUCAGCAAUCUCUCCCUUGGACAGCUACCUGCUGUGAAAAUACUUGCUUAAUGUAGUUCCUCUUGAAAAUGUUGUUCCUGCAUUAUGACUUUCAUUACACAUUUCCCAAUGAGCUUUGUUUGGUUAUUUUACUUGUGUUUCUAUUGACAGGGCAUAGGAUGAAACACCUUCUAAUUACCUCUGAAUAUCUUUACUGGUUAUCUAUGGCUGUGUACAAACCAUCCAAAACUCAGUGGCUUAACACACCCAUUUACAGAGGUCAUGAUUCUGUAGGUUUGUAUUUGGGCUAUCUUCAGGCAGGCAGUUCCACUGCUGAUCUUGGCUGGGCUCAUUCACUUUGUGUAUAGUUUUGAGUCAGUUGGGAAGCUCUGCUUUGGAGAUAGGCUGGCUAUCAACUCUGUGGUUAUGGGUAUCAACUGAGCCAUGUGUUUUUUAUCAUCUAGGAGGGUAGUCUGGGCUUGAGCACAUGAUGGUAGUCUCAGUAUUCCAAGAAGAGCAAGAGAUGUAGCUGCAAUGCCUCUUGAACUAGGCUUAUAACUCACCCAGUGUCAUUUAUAUUAUUGGCCAAAGCAAGUCACAAAGCCAGCCUGAAAUGCACUCCACCUCAUGAUGGGAGAAUUUGCAAAGUGCUGUGGCAAUUUUCCCAAUAUGCUUCAAGGUGUAUAAACUUUCUUCCAUUAAUCCUGGCAUAUGCAAGGAGGAAAGAAUGGAAAACAUUCCAAAGAAAGUUUUUGUUAUUGUUGUUAUUUUCUAUAACCAUAACAAAUACUGGAAGCAUGAUGAUUCCCUAUUGUUUACACAUUAUCAUUAUUAUUUAUUGAGCACCUCAUAUGUGCCAGAGACCAGUCA